rnacentral:rRNA from 1 species
GGGGGGGGGGCAAGCGUUGUUCGGAAUUACUGGGGCGUAAAGGGCGCGCAGGCGGCCUGGCCAGUCCUACGUGAAAUCCCACAGCUCAACUGUGGAACUGCGUGGGAUACUGCCAAGCUUGAGUCCGGGAGAGGAGAGUGGAAUUCCCAGUGUAGCGGUGAAAUGCGUAGAUAUUGGGAGGAACACCGGUGGCGAAGGCGGCUCUCUGGACCGGCACUGACGCUGAGGCGCGAAAGCUAGGGGAGCAAACGGGAUUAGAUACCCCGGUAGUCCUAGCCCUAAACGAUGAGCACUUGGUGUGGCGGGUAUCGACCCCUGCCGUGCCGAAGCUAACGCAUUAAGUGCUCCGCCUGGGGAGUACGGUCGCAAAGGCUG